rnacentral:lncRNA from 1 species
CGGAAGUUAACUGCUCGGGAAACUCUGUCACGGUGCUGAAUUUCAAUUCUCUGAAUAUCCCUGGUACGGUUCCACCAUUCAUAUGUGAUCUGAAGAACCUGACUUUUCUGGAUCUUUAUAACAACAGCAUCGUUGGAGCAUUCCCAACAGUUCUGUACAACUGUUCCAAUCUUGAGUACUUAAACCUUGGCCAAAACUACUUCGUCGGUCCGAUACCCGGUGAUGUUGAUCGUUUGGGUCGACUGAAUCACCUUGAUGUCUCUGGUAAUAACUUCUCCAGUGACAUCCCAUCUGCCAUUGGGAGGUUGAAGGAGUUGAAGGUUCUUUACCUUAACCAAAAUCAGUUCAAUGGAACUUUCCCGCAGGAAAUUGGCUCAUUAUCUAAAUUAGAAGAGUUGAAAUUGGCCCACAAUGGGUUUAUGCCUUCGUUGCUGCAUUCCAACUUUACCCAGCUGAAGAAUCUCAAGGUUCUGUGGGUUAACGAUGCGAAUCUGAUUGGGGAGAUACCGGAAAUGAUCGGAGAGAUGGAAGCAUUGGAGGGCUGGAUCGGCACCGGAGUCAUGGGCCGCUCUAUGUGUUCCCACCUCAUCAAAGCUGGCUAACCUCUCACAGUCUUCACCCGCACCGUUUCCAACGCCCAACCCCUCCUCGACAUCGGUGCCAAACUCGCCGAUUCCCCACUCGCCGUCGCUUCCCAAUCCGACGUCGUCUUCUCCAUCGUCGCCUUCCCCUCCGACGUCCGCCAGGUACUGCUCCACCCCACCUCCGGCGCCCUCCAGGGCCUCAAUCCAGGCGGGAUUCUCGUCGACAUGACCACAUCGGAACCCUCCCUCGCCGCUGAGAUCUCCGACGCUGCAUCGGCCAAAAACUGCCACUCGAUCGACGCGCCCGUCUCGGGCGGCGAUCGCGGUGCGAAGAGUGGGACCCUGGCGAUAUUCGCCGGCGGGGAUAGAUCCGUGGUAGAGAGGCUAAAUCCUUUAUUCGCCCUCAUGGGUAAGGUUAAUUACAUGGGCGCCCCAGGGAAGGGCCAAUUCGCUAAACUGGCGAAUCAGAUCACCAUAGCUUCGGCGAUGGUUGGGUUGGUGGAAGGGAUGAUAUAUGCUUACAAGGCUGGCCUGAACGUGGAAGUUUACUUGAGCGCAAUCUCUACAGGAGCCGCUGGGUCCAAGUCGCUGGAUUUGUACGCUGGUAGGAUUAUGGAGAGGGAUUUCCAACCUGGGUUUUAUGUGAAUCAUUUUGUCAAGGAUUUGGGCAUCUGUUUGAAAGAGUGUCAGAAUAUGGGACUUGUUUUGCCUGGUUUGGCUUUAGCUCAGCAGCUUUAUCUGUCGCUGAAGGCUCACGGGGAAGGCAAUUUGGGCACCCAGGCUUUGAUUUUGGCUCUGGAGAGGCUUAACAAUGUUUCCCUGGCCAACUCUGCAGCUUGAACCAACUGUAUACUGUAGAAUUGAUGUUUCUGAUGAAAUUGUGAAUGGGAAUAAAUAAUUGUUCUGCUCUUUAUUCUGUUGUCCUACUUUCUUGAUGUUUAUGCUAACUGAACCUGAUAAGAACGACGUUGCAAACAGAAUUAGUUAAGAGAAGGAUUGACUUAUUCCUUCCCUCCUCUUACCUAGGAUCAUCAUCAAAAACGUAAGCUCAUGUCAUUUGCAGAUGGACAGCCAAGAUCAAACGCAAUGUCUAGAAGAAGUGGUAAAGUUAGUAUAGAGCCAGGAACCUUCUUCUUUACAGAAGGGUCAAAAGUUCUCGUUCAAAUUUGGCGACCAACCCACUUUCUGGUUAUAUCUGAUAUCAGGUAGGUACAUUGAACGCUGUUUUGGAGUAUCCUGUGCUGGAACAAGUCCCACGUGCUGGUAUGAAGCUUCCUUGGAUUUCCAGGUUUGAAACCAGCAACAUUGACUUUUGGCCUAAUGGAGUUCAGGUUUCUGUAGACUCACGGCUUCCAUCGUAAUCGAUGGUUUACCUGCAGAAGAAGCCAUUUCAUAAAGACUUAGUAAGUUGAAACAAGCAAAGCUGAACUCAGCGACUUGAAGAAACUUUGGCCAUAUUACUCCCGUACAGUAAAUAGCUUUCAGCUGCAGUUUUCCAAUACUUUUUUCUAGCACCGUAUCAACACAUACCAGAAACCAAAGACUUGGCCUUUCUCAAAAACCCAUCUUAUAUUUUUCCAUCGCCAUAGUUCCAGAGCACCAUAGCAAAACAAAAGGAGUUGGUGAAACAUUAUGUGUAUGCUCACCGUUUUAUUUACUCUUUUCUUCUUCUGCUGCCAUGGAAGUUCUCAGCUUCUUCAGGACGACCGUGGAAUCCUGCUGAGAAUGAAGCAACACUGGCAGAACCCACUGCCACUCUCUCACUGGUCACUGGCUCCUUCACCGGGCUCAUCUCCCUGCGACUGGCCGGAAGUUAACUGCUCGGGAAACUCUGUCACGGUGCUGAAUUUCAAUUCUCUGAAUAUCCCUGGUACGGUUCCACCAUUCAUAUGUGAUCUGAAGAACCUGACUUUUCUGGAUCUUUAUAACAACAGCAUCGUUGGAGCAUUCCCAACAGUUCUGUACAACUGUUCCAAUCUUGAGUACUUAAACCUUGGCCAAAACUACUUCGUCGGUCCGAUACCCGGUGAUGUUGAUCGUUUGGGUCGACUGAAUCACCUUGAUGUCUCUGGUAAUAACUUCUCC